ensembl:lncRNA
GGGAAGAUGGAGGAGAAGUUUCCCUCGGGGGAAGAUGGGAAGAUGGAGGAGAAGUUUCCCUCGGGGGGAAGAUGGAGGAGAAGUUUCCCUCGGGGGGAAGAUGGAGGAGAAGUUUCCCUUGGAGGCAGAGAGAAUACAGGUGAAACAGAGGUAGACCUCAGAAGGUAGGCUCAGAAGGUAGGCUACAGCGUAAGAUAGAUGACCCCCCCUCAGUAACAGAUGUGUUCUGUGUCUCUUACCCAGACAGGAUAGAUAUAUAUACCCACCCCCUCAGUACCAGAUGUGUUCUGUGUCUCUUAUCCAGACAGGAUACAUGACCCCCCUCAUAAAAACAGAUGUGUUCUGGGUCU